GGGGACGUCUUGCUUUGACGAGGCGAAUCGCUCUUUAACAUCUGCAUACCGACUUUGACUAGAGAAGUCGUAAAACAGAGUCAAAAAAUAUCUGUCAAAUCUUUUGUACAGACAGCCAAAAAUGCUUUUCUAGCAAUGGAAAAUGCCAUCUUUGGUUCAGCUAAUUACGCAUACACUGCUUAAUUAUUCUGCGUCUCGUUAUCUACUCGCUCAUGGGAAAAUAACAGGCGGAAACAAACAUGAGCCGUAAGUCUGAACUAGUCGCUCAGACCCAAACAAACGACUACCCUCGCUAAAUAGUUGGUUGUUAGUUUCCUAUAUUUAGAGAGGUAAAACUCUUAAACACUAAACAAGUAUGUAGAUGAUGUUAAAAGCUCGCUCCGGACGAGGGCUCACUGCCCUCCGUCUCCACAC
rnacentral:tmRNA from 1 species